UACGUAUGGAGCAAGCGUUAUCCGGAUUUACUGGGUGUAAAGGGAGCGUAGGCGGUAAGGCAAGUCUGAUGUGAAAGGCCAGGGCUCAACCCUGGGACUGCAUUGGAAACUGUUUAACUGGAGUGUCGGAGAGGCAAGUGGAAUUCCUAGUGUAGCGGUGAAAUGCAUAGAUAUAACUUAGAACCCCGAUUGCGAAGGCAGCAUACCGGCGCCCGACUGACGCUGAGGCACGAAAGUGCGGGUAUCGAACAGG
rnacentral:rRNA from 1 species